AACGGCGAGUGAAGCGGCAACAGCUCAAAUUUGAAAUCUGGCUCUUUCAGGGUCCGAGUUGUAAUUUGCAGAGGGCGCUUUGGCGUUGGCAGCGGUCCAAGUUCUUUGGAACAGGACGUCACAGAGGGUGAGAAUCCCGUACGUGGUCGCUAGCCUUCGCCGUGUAAAGCCCCUUCGACGAGUCGAGUUGUUUGGGAAUGCAGCUCUAAAUGGGAGGUAAAUUUCUUCUAAAGCUAAAUACUGGCCAGAGACCGAUAGCGCACAAGUAGAGUGAUCGAAAGAUGAAAAGCACUUUGGAAAGAGAGUCAAAUAGCACGUGAAAUUGUUGAAAGGGAAGCGCUUGCAGCCAGACUUGCCUGUAGUUGCUUAUCUGGACUUUUGUCCGGUGCACUCUUCUGCGGGCAGGCCAGCAUCAGUUUGGGCGGUUGGAUAAAGGUCUCUGUCAUGUACCUCCUUUCGGGGAGGCCUUAUAGGGGAGACGACAUGCAACCAGCCUGGACUGAGGUCCGCGCAUCUGCUAGGAUGCUGGCGUAAUGGCUGUAAGCGGCCCGUCUUGAAACACGGACCAAGGAGUCUAACAUCUAUGCGAGUGUUUGGGUGUCAAGCCCAGACGCGUAAUGAAAGUGAACGGAGGUGGGAACCCUUUGGGUGCACCAUCGACCGAUCCUGAUGUCUUCGGAUGGAUUUGAGUAAGAGCAUGGCUGUUGGGACCCGAAAGAUGGUGAACUAUGCUUGAAUAGGGUGAAGCCAGAGGAAACUCUGGUGGAGGCUCGCAGCGGUUCUGACGUGCAAAUCGAUCGUCAAAUUUGGGCAUAG
rnacentral:rRNA from 1 species